rnacentral:rRNA from 1 species
AGCAGCCGCGGUAAUUCCAGCUCCAAUAGCGUAUAUUAAAGUUGUUGCAGUUAAAAAGCUCGUAGUUGAAUUUCGGGGUUAGUAGGUUGGUCAUGCCUCUGGUAUGUACUGGUCUCACUGAUUCCUCCUUCCUGAUGAACCUUAAUGCCAUUAAUUUGGUGUUUUGGGGAAUUUGGACUGUUACUUUGAAAAAUUAGAGUGUUUAGAGCAAGCUAACGCUUGAAUACAUUAGCAUGGAAUAAUGAAAUAGGACGUUCAAUCCUAUUUUGUUGGUUUCUAGGAUUGACGUAAUGAUUAAUAGGGAUAGUUGGGGGCAUUAGUAUUCAAUUGUCAGAGGUGAAAUUCUUGGAUUUAUUGAAGACUAACUACUGCGAAAGCAUUUGCCAAGGAUGUUUUCAUUAAUCAAGAACGAAAGUUAGGGGAUCGAAGACGAUCAGAUACCGUCGUAGUCUUAACCAUAAACUAUGCCGACUAGGGAUCGGAUGAUGUUAAUUUUUAAUGUACUCAUUCGGCGCCUUAC